GUCCACGCCGUAAACGAUGAAUGCUAGCCGUUGGCCGGUUUACCGGUCAGUGGCGCAGCUAACGCUUUAAGCAUUCCGCCUGGGGAGUACGGUCGCAAGAUUAAAACUCAAAGGAAUUGACGGGGGCCCGCACAAGCGGUGGAGCAUGUGGUUCAAUUCGACGCAACGCGAAGAACCUUACCAGCUCUUGACAUGUCUCGUAUGGGUUUCAGAGAUGAGACUCUUCAGUUCGGCUGGCGAGAACACAGGUGCUGCAUGGCUGUCGU
rnacentral:rRNA from 1 species